AACGUAGGACGCAAGCGUUAUCCGGAGUUACUGGGCGUAAAGGGCUCGUAGGUGGCCAACUAAGUCAGACGUGAAAUCCCUCAGCUUAACUGGGGAACUGCGUCUGAUACUGGAUGGCUUGAGUUUGGGAGAGGGAUGCGGAAUUCCAGGUGUAGCGGUGAAAUGCGUAGAUAUCUGGAGGAACACCGGUGGCGAAGGCGGCAUCCUGGACCAACACUGACACUGAUGAGCGAAAGCCAGGGGAGCGGACGGG
rnacentral:rRNA from 1 species